rnacentral:rRNA from 1 species
UUAAAUUGAAGAGUUUGAUCAUGGCUCAGAUUGAACGCUGGCGGCAGGCCUAACACAUGCAAGAAGAAC